rnacentral:misc_RNA from 1 species
AGUAAAAGUCGUAACAAGGUUUCCGUAGGUGAACCUGCGGAAGGAUCAUUAUCGAAUUAUAAGCAAAGGUUGUUGCUGGCCUCCUCGGGGGCAUGUGCACGCCCGAGCUCUUAAUCCACUUACACCUGUGAACCCAAAAGUGGGGGUCGUCCCUUGGGGUGAUUCUCAUGUCUUUCAUAUACUCUUAUGCAUGUCUCGGAAUGUCUUUAUGUUGCCUAAGCGCAAUUAUAAUACAACUUUCAACAACGGAUCUCUUGGCUCUCGCAUCGAUGAAGAACGCAGCGAAAUGCGAUAAGUAAUGUGAAUUGCAGAUUUUCAGUGAAUCAUCGAAUCUUUGAACGCACCUUGCGCUCCUUGGUAUUCCGAGGAGCAUGCCUGUUUGAGUGUCAUUAAAUUCUCAACUUCACCGAUUUGCUUCGAGUGAAGCUUGGACUUUGGAGCGUGCUGGCCCUCGAUUGGGUCGGCUCCUCUUUAAAUGCAGCAGCGGAGUCUUCUUUGACUUUUGUGCCAUCGGUGUGAUAAUCAUGUUGCGCCGUGGGCCCUGGGUCUCAGUCCGCUUACAAUCGUCUUCGGACAGCUUAUGAAACGCUUGACCUCAAAUCAGGUAGGACUACCCGCUGAACUUAAGCAUAUCAAUAAGCGGAGGAAAAGAAACUAACAAGGAUUCCCCUAGUAACUGCGAGUGAAGCGGGAAAAGCUCAAAUUUAAAAUCUGGCGGUCCCUGGCCGUCCGAGUUGUAAUCUGGAGAAGCGUUUUCUGCGUUGGACCGUGUACAAGUUUUCUGGAACGAAACGUCAUAGAGGGUGAGAAUCCCGUCUUUGACACGGACCGCCAAUGCUCUGUGAUACGCUCUCGAAGAGUCGAGUUGUUUGGGAAUGCAGCUCAAAAUGGGUGGUAAAUUCCAUCUAAAGCUAAAUAUUGGCGAGAGACCGAUAGCGAACAAGUACCGUGAGGGAAAGAUGAAAAGCA